rnacentral:lncRNA from 1 species
CCCUCCCCCACGCAGUCAGAGCAAAGAAAACGUCCUUUUAUGUCUCUAGAAAGUUUCCCAUUUUUUAGAACUCCACAGCUACUUCCCCCUGGCUUCCUUUGCUGCAGCCAAACGUUGGUGUCUUGAAUAAAAUGCUGCAGUCUUCAGACGCAGCUCCCGUCUGUCUUCACGCGGGGUGUUGCCGGGGCAGCUCUGCCGGGCCUCGGGCGGCCGAGCUGGACGCUGAGGCUGCGGCCCCUCUCUGCCCCUCUUUCAGACUGCUCCUGCCACCAGUGCUGACCAGAGGCCAGAUGAAGCCGGCACCUCUCAGACCCCAGGCUGGCACGAGGCUAGAUUCUAGAGGGAGCCAGAAGAAUUAGUUACCAAUUGUCUUGAGAACAGAGUCAUUCACUCGGUACCAACGACGCACUGGGCGCUGACCCAGCCACAGCGCCCUCCUGCGCACGGAGAUGUAAGAACGAUUUG